ACUUCGUGGAAACGCCGCAAUUCGGACAAAGAGUCGUCACCGAAUCAGGCUCGAUCAGAGGCGGAGGCUGAUCCAGAGACUCCCCGCCGCCACCAAGUGCCGGGAAGGCACAAAGAGAGGGCGGCACUCCACCCGCCCCGCCGCCCGCGCGGGGCGGGGCGGGGCGAGGGCGGCCUGCCGACUCCACGGGGUCGUCUGGAGCCCGCAGGGCUCCGCCCCCGGGACUCGGGGCCAGCUGGCUGGGAGCCCAAUCCGCCCUGGGGGAACAAUCGCCAUCCCCCGGGCUGGAUCCGUCCCGGAGCGGGGUGAGGGGGGUCCACAUCGCACAGAAACUCAAACUCCCCCUCGUCCGCGACCGAGACAGAAGGGCCCCCCGGGAACUCCGAGGGCUACAGAACCCAGACCCCCGCCAAAUCACCUCACACUUUUUCCACUGCACCAGCAGCGACCCCAACGUCCACGGUGCAAUCGUCAAAGAGAACCUCCGUGAGGCGGACCCCCACGAGAUACCACUCCUGCCUGGAGAACGCCUGCGCAGGGUCCGAAAAGAACCCCUGUUCCUUGGCCCACAGAUGGAGCUUCACAAAAUCACUCCAGGAACCAGAAACCUGUUUCACCUGCAGGACAUCCCUCCAGAUGUCCAAAACGAAAGACUCCUCCUCGAAAGUCACAGAGGGAGCCAUCACCACAAGAGCAGCAGGCAAAGCGCCAAGGAGGGGGGUGGGAAAACGGCACGACCUCACCGCAAUCGGAAUCCGUGUCUCAGCCUAGGCUGCAGUACACUUCAGCAGUCACAAGAUGUCGCUAUGGAACACAAAAGAACACAGACGCACACCGCUGCUCCAAGGUGAACAAAAAAGGGAAGUUUAUUUCCUGACUCCAACAUUUAUAGUUUUCCAAAAGUGACAGUGGAUUAGAGGGUGACAGUGCCACCUCUCCAAUGCCACUGGGCAAACCAAGAGUCCAUCAAGUCUCUCCUCCUCCAUAAAGGAAUGCAAAACAAUGUGUUAUCUACAGACAGCAUGAGAGAAAGUUCUCCACAAGAAUAUAAACAUCAGAAGGCUUAGAAAAUCCUAGAAAAUCAGGGCGACACUUAAUGCCUUCUUCGCCUCAGUCUUUAGUGGUAAAACAGCCUGUCCUCAAGACAACUGUCCUCAGGGAUUAGUACAUAGUGCCAAGGAGCAGAAUGGUCCUCUUGUUAUCCAAGAAGAGGCAGAGAACUGCUGGGACACUUGGAUAUUUAUAAAUCAGUGGUACCAGAUGGGAUCCAUCCUAGGGUGAUGAGGGAGCUGGCAGAUGAGCUUGUGAAGCUGCUCUCCAUCAUUUAUCAAGAGUUGUGGCUCACUGGAGAGGUUCCAGAUGAUUGGAAAUGGGCCACUGUGACACCCAUUUACAAAAAAGAUGGACCUGGCUGCACGCACAAGUUGGUGAUACUUUGGUGGGACACAGAAUCCGACCGAUGGGAUUUGGAUGUUGUUACUGAGCUGCGGAAUGAGGACUUUACAAAUAAAACUGUAAAGCAGGAAUUGUUGAGAGAGCUGAGGCUGCUGUAUUGAAGAAUGUGCCCAACAAGGAUUUGUUUCAAGGGUUACAACAACUUGCUUUUCUUUUAGAUGUGAGGCAACAGCCUUAUUUUGUAAUGCAUGUCUGUUCUCAUUUACUUUGCUUGGUUUUGUUGCAGAAGGAAAUCGCCAAGCGGAUUUGCUUACUUUAUCCUUUCAAGCGUUGCGGUUUGCCCAAGCUAAACUUAGCCACUCCUUUUUUCAUCAGAAUGCUGCCUCACUGGCACACACUUUUGGCUUGACUAGCUGCCAAGCCUCCAGCAUUGUUGCUGUAUGUCCUGACUGCCAGAGGCACUCCUUUCCCUCCAUUGCUGGAGGAAUUAACCCUAGAGUACUCCAAAGCCUUCAAAUAUGGCAAACAGAUGUCACUAAUUUCCCAGAAUUUGGCUAACUUAAGUGUAUUAACUCCUCUAUAGAUACCUUUUUAGGUGCUCUGUUUGCAUCCUGUCAUACUGGAGAAUCAGCAAAAGACAUUUGUCGUCACUUUGCAAGUGCCUUUGCAGUCUUGGGUAUUCCCUUGCAAAUCAAAACUAAUAAUAGCCCAGCAUAUAUAUUUCCCAGAGAGUUGCGGCUUUUCUUGCCCUCUGGGGGGUAACACACAGCACGGGGAUUCCUCAUUACUCAACAGGCCAAGCUAUAAUCAAACGAGCCCACGCUUCACUUAAGCAUCUUUUGCUACAACAGAAAGGGGGAAUGGGGAAUGCCACCACAGUUGAGCAAUUACAGAAGGCAUUGUUCCCUAAUGGACCCUAACCCCCCAGUUGUGAGGCACUUUGGCCAUAACCCUCAGUUAGAAGUUAAACAGAAGGCCCCAGUCCUUAUAAAGGACCUGGAUACAGAUAAAAUUAUGGGACCUUAUCCCCUCAGCACAUGAGGAAGAGGUUAUGCUUGUGUCUCUACAGAAAACGGCCUGAGGUAGAUCCCAGCCAAGAAUGUGAGACUUUUCAGAGAAUCUUUGAAUACCUCUUCUGAAUAUCCUGACCACCCUGGCACUUCAUCUCUGGCUUUGCCUUCUCAGACCAUUGAGCACACCUCCACCAAGAUCCCAUGGCCACCCAAAUCAGCUCUUACCUGACCCAAGGGGACUCAUCAACCUCUUGCCACUUUGCAAUCUGGAUGGUCAACUCAUCCCUGAAAUAGUGAAAUCCUUAAUUGCAGAACAAGUCUCCAUUCAUGAAAGUGAUUUGCAGAAAAAACUUCACAACUCAUAAAAGUUGUGAAGUAGGUAUAUAUUUUUAUUCAGUGCUGGGCACGUGCAAGAUCAAAGAGCAUGCAAAUUCCCCGAGAGUCCAGUUCCCCCUUUGUCCCCUAACCCGUUGCAUAUGCAUUAAGUUUCACAAUAGGUCCAUGCAUAUUCAUUUACUAGCCCUGCUUUGCAUUACAAUUAGUUCCUAUCAGUCCUUGUGCAGAGAGCUCUCUGGUUGUAUCUUGGCAGCCUCAGUUUUGCUUUGCUUCUUGUUUCAGGGUCCAAGGGGCCUCUCUUAUCUCCCUCUAGCUUGGAAGUUCAGAUUCCUCUCACCUUGUUUGGGACAGUUUUGUGAGCUACAGGCUUUUUGAGAGCACAGGCUUUUUGCGAGCACAGCAAGUUAACAGACUAAAUAAGUUAACACAACACACUUCAUCUAUGUGAGCAAGCUACAGCCUAAAAAAUUCAAAACAGCACACUCAAUCUAAAUCCGAAAUUGAGUUCUACCCCAAGUUAAUUUCUAACCCCAUGUCUCAAAAGACAGCGAGAACAGUGUGAAAGGAGACUUGGACUUAGAUGUGAAAAUAACCCUAAACCUUGCUUUAUUUGUAGAGAAUAUUCCCACCAGGCAUGGACUCUGUGUAUGUGUUAUAGGUGUCAGAGAAAGUGGUAUUACGCAUCAGAGCACGGGGAUUGCCCACAGUAUGAUCCUUUGCGCUAUUCGUAUGGUGAUUGUAUUAUUUUAAAAAUUUGUCUGUGCACAGGAUUAUGGCUUGCCUUCACAUAGGUAUUUUUGGGAUCAAGAUUGGCCUCCUCAGGCUGAUCCUUUUUGUAGGAUUCAGUCUCUAUGAAGGGGAAAUGGUUGUGGUGCCAGCCCUUCCAGAAGGUAAUGUUCAGCUUAUGCUAGUUUCAGCUUUAAAUGAAUCUACUUUGUGCAUUUCUAUGACUUCUCCCAGUAACCCUUUUCAAACUUGCUUUGUUGCCAUGCCCUUACAGGAAAGUGAGUGGGAUACUUUAUUCAACUUGACAACCCAAAGAAAUUGUACCGCCCUAGGUCAAGUUGAACCAAAGUGGUGGUGUGAUACAGAGUACCGUAAAAAGCAAGGCCAGAUGGCUGGAUGGUUUUUUGCUAACAACAGUGGUCAAGGGAUGGAUAUAAUUAAUGAGUUUCCCCCUCUCCCCCUACAGCCUGAAGAUCUUGACAUUCUUGGAUCCACACAGUCCUUUGUGUGUUUCUUUUUAAAUUAUACCCAUAGAAUCUGGACCUAUGUUAACAAAGAAAAAAUAAACCCUGGCUUUGAUGUUUCAGGUACAGGUAUUUAUGGCAAUGCCUCUGCUUGGUGUAAUCACACCUUACCGUGUCAAGUUAUUCCAGGAGAACUUGCCAUCGGACUAAUAGACAAUAUAUUUUUAAUUUGUGGAAAUGGAGCUUGGAAAGGAAUACCGGGAGAGGCAAUUGGAGGCCCUUGCACUUUUGGGUGACUAACUGUGUUUCACUCCUCACAGAUAAACUUAACAUCUUUGCAUAAGCUAGGACGGGUGAAAUGCAGCACACAUACAUACACCCCAGAUUGUGACGAUAACGUACAAUCAUGGGAAACUGGGGUGUGAGUACUUGCCUCAAUUAUUCCAUCUAUUGGCACAGCACAUUCACAAAAAACUUUAAACGAGCUUGGUUGCUGGCUUGCAAAACAAACUAAUGCUACUAGCUCUGCUUUAACAGGCUUAUUAACAGAUAUUGAUAGUGUAAGGCAUACAACAUUGCAAAAUAGAGCUGCCAUAGAUUUUUUUGCUUUUAGCACAUGAGCAUGGCUGUGAAGACUUUGAAGGCUUAUGCUGCAUGAACCUGUCUGAUCAUUCUCAGUCUAUCCAUGCUAGCAUACAGGCCCUUCAACACAGUAUAACUAACUUACAGGUUGUUAGCAAUGGGGACUGGCUCCGGCAGAUGCUGGGGGGAUGUGGGCUCACUGGCUGACUUAAAAACUUGAUAAAGACAGGGAUUUAUAUUUUAGCUAUAGUAAUGCUUUUGAUUAUUCGCUUGCCAUGUGUUUUUCAAUGUGUUCAAAGAUUAAUAGAUAAGUCCCUGAAAAGAAUUUUAAUGGUUGAACAGAAAGGGAGAGAUGUGGGGAUGCAGCUGGGCAGUGGAGCAGAGAGUACUGCAGAGUUAAUGGAUGAUGUGGACAUCUUGGCCUUGGUGGGCCAAAAGCCCUGGGAACAUCAAACAGAAAUCUGAGGAAGGAAAGAAAAUGAAUGUUGUGCUUUGAUUUAAGGAAGUCAUGUAAGACUGCAGGUGUAAGAUUGUGGUUAAGCAAUAUUUCUAAGAACCAUUAAUAAUGUGGUUAUUGCUUGGCAGUGGAAAAUUUUAUCUAACGCUGUAAGAGUAUAUAAACUGAGCUUUUGAAGCAAUAAACAACUUCUUGCUUGCCCU